rnacentral:rRNA from 1 species
UGAGGAAUAUUGGUCAAUGGACGCAAGUCUGAACCAGCCAAGUAGCGUGCAGGAUUACGGCCCUAUGGGUUGUAAACUGCUUUUAUAUGGGGAUAAAGUGGGGAACGUGUUCCCUUUUGCAGGUACCAUAUGAAUAAGGACCGGCUAAUUCCGUGCCAGCAGCCGCGGUAAUACGGAAGGUUCGGGCGUUAUCCGGAUUUAUUGGGUUUAAAGGGAGCGUAGGCCGUUUGGUAAGCGUGUUGUGAAAUGUAGGAGCUCAACUUCUAGAUUGCAGCGCGAACUGUCAGACUUGAGUGCGCACAACGUAGGCGGAAUUCAUGGUGUAUCGGUGAAAUGCUUAGAUAUCAUGAUGAACGCCGAUUGCGAAGGCAGCUUACGGGAGCGCAACUGACGCUGAAGCUCGAAGGUGCGGGUAUCGAACAGG